ACGUACACUCCUGCGGGAGGCAGCAGUGGGGAAUAUUGGACAAUGGGCGCAAGCCUGAUCCAGCCAUGCCGCGUGAGUGAUGAAGGCCCUAGGGUUGUAAAGCUCUUUCACCGGUGAAGAUAAUGACGGUAACCGGAGAAGAAGCCCCGGCUAACUUCGUGCCAGCAGCCGCGGUAAUACGAAGGGGGCUAGCGUUGUUCGGAUUUACUGGGCGUAAAGCGCACGUAGGCGGACUAUUAAGUCAGGGGUGAAAUCCCGGGGCUCAACCCCGGAACUGCCUUUGAUACUGGUAGUCUUGAGUUCGAGAGAGGUGAGUGGAAUUCCGAGUGCAGAGGUGAAAUUCGUAGAUAUUCGGAGGAACACCAGUGGCGAAGGCGGCUCACUGGCUCGAUACUGACGCUGAGGUGCGAAAGCGUGGGGAGCAAACAGGAUUAGAAACCCCUGUAGUCCCAUGAU
rnacentral:rRNA from 1 species